rnacentral:rRNA from 1 species
GAUGAACGCUGGCGGCGUGCCUAAUACAUGCAAGUCGAGCGAACGGACGAGAAGCUUGCUUCUCUGAUGUUAGCGGCGGACGGGUGAGUAACACGUGGAUAACCUACCUAUAAGACUGGGAUAACUUCGGGAAACCGGAGCUAAUACCGGAUAAUAUUUUGAACCGCAUGGUUCAAAAGUGAAAGACGGUCUUGCUGUCACUUAUAGAUGGAUCCGCGCUGCAUUAGCUAGUUGGUAAGGUAACGGCUUACCAAGGCAACGAUGCAUAGCCGACCUGAGAGGGUGAUCGGCCACACUGGAACUGAGAAACGGUCCAGACUACUACGGGAGGCGGCAGUAGGGAAUCUUCCGCAAUGGGCGAAAGCCUGACGGAGCAACGCCGCGUGAGUGAUGAAGGUCUUCGGAUCGUAAAACUCUGUUAUUAGGGAAGAACAUAUGUGUAAGUAACUGUGCACAUCUUGACGGUACCUAAUCAGAAAGCCACGGCUAACUACGUG